rnacentral:rRNA from 1 species
AGAGUUUGAUCCUGGCUCAGAUUGAACGCUGGCGGCAUGCCUUACACAUGCAAGUCGAACGGAUUGAGGGGCUUGCUCCUCAGUUAGUGGCGAACGGGUGAGUAAAGCAUCGGAACGUACCCAGUUGUGGGGGAUAACGUAGCGAAAGUUACGCUAAUACCGCAUACGCACUGAGGUGGAAAGCGGGGGACCGAAAGGCCUCGCGCAAUUGGAGCGGCCGAUGUCGGAUUAGCUAGUUGGUGGGGUAAAGGCCUACCAAGGCGACGAUCCGUAGCUGGUCUGAGAGGACGACCAGCCACACUGGAACUGAGACACGGUCCAGACUCCUACGGGAGGCAGCAGUGGGGAAUUUUGGACAAUGGGCGAAAGCCUGAUCCAGCCAUGCCGCGUGAGUGAAGAAGGCCUUCGGGUUGUAAAGCUCUUUCAGACGGAAAGAAAUCUCCUGGGUGAAUAUCCCGGGAGGAUGACGGUACCGUAAGAAGAAGCACCGGCUAACUACGUGCCAGCAGCCGCGGUAAUACGUAGGGUGCGAGCGUUAAUCGGAAUUACUGGGCGUAAAGCGUGCGCAGGCGGUUGCAUAAGACAGAUGUGAAAUCCCCGGGCUCAACCUGGGAACUGCGUUUGUGACUGUGCGACUGGAGUACGGUAGAGGGGGGUGGAAUUCCUGGUGUAGCAGUGAAAUGCGUAGAUAUCAGGAGGAACAUCGAUGGCGAAGGCAGCCCCCUGGACCUGUACUGACGCUCAUGCACGAAAGCGUGGGGAGCAAACAGGAUUAGAUACCCUGGUAG